CUAUUAUGGAGAGUUUGAUCCUGGCUCAGGACGAACGCUGGCGGCGUGCCUAAUACAUGCAAGUCGAGCGGAGUUGAUGAGAAGCUUGCUUCUCUGAUACUUAGCGGCGGACGGGUGAGUAACACGUAGGCAACCUGCCCACAAGAUCGGGAUAACAUUCGGAAACGAAUGCUAAGACCGGAUAAACAGUCCUCUCGCAUGGGAGGGUUGGGAAAGACGGAGCAAUCUGUCACUUGCGGAUGGGCCUGCGGCGCAUUAGCUAGUUGGUGAGGUAACGGCCCACCAAGGCGACGAUGCGUAGCCGACC
rnacentral:rRNA from 1 species